UCAAUAUGGAGCUCUUCUCAAUAUCAAUACAAAUCGGUCAAUUUGCCGAUCCCAUACCGAUUCCUCAAAUCAUCGUCAUGGCCAGGGGCACGCUCCCGGCGAAAAAAAGAAAAGAAAAAACGCAUUACCAUUCCAGAUAUAUCAUAAAACAAGAAAAACCCCCAUCGCUUAAGGUUUUUCACUUUCAGUUAACCAUCGAGGCAGUGAGGAGCGAGACCGACCUGCGACACCCCACUCCGAAUCCCAACUCCCAACUCCCCCGCCCCUCCCUCUACACCUCUACACCUCUCGCCUCUCGCCUCUCACCUCCCGCCUUCUUUGCUCAUUCUUACAAAAACCCACUUCGCUGCUUCUCCUCACAUCGUAUUUUCAUUCACAGAAACACCUUCUCCUGUUACCCAUCUCGAAGAAGACGGAAAAGCCGUAGACGAAAUCAGCGCAGAAAACCCAAUUGAGAGAGAGAGAGAGAUUCUAACAAUGCAACAUUCAUGAAAGAAUAAUACACUGCUGAUUUGAAGGUGGGCUAGGAAUGACAACUCGAAUCGCUCCGGGCGUUGGAGCGAACCUCCUAGGUCAACACUCGGCUGAGAGGAAUCAAGAUGCCACUGCUUAUGUUGGCAACCUCGACCCCCAGGUCACUGAGGAAUUACUAUGGGAAUUGUUUGUUCAAGCAGGCCCUGUUGG